rnacentral:rRNA from 1 species
AUGUCCAUUAUCACUCCUACUACUUUGCUUACUGUCAAUGAGCUCAUUGAUGAAGAAAACUGGACAUGGAAGACGGAUCUUGUUCGACAAAAUUUUCUUGCUCCGGAUGCAGAUGCUAUUCUGAACAUACCAUUGCGCACUGGAGGUGGGGAUGAUUUCUUUGCAUGGGCUUUUGAAAACUCAGGUGUGUACACUGUCAAGUCGGCGUACCGUGCUCUCGUGACUCAGAAAGAGCGUAAAGCUCUAGAGGAAGGGACGGCUACCGGUGCCUCAAAAUCUAAACAACAGAUGUGGACAUCUCUGUGGAAGCUCAAAGUUGUGCCAAAGGUCAAAGUUUUU